CCAGAGUUGAAAAGAGCUUUAAAUAUGUCAAAAAUUUAAAGACUACAUUUUGGGUAUGUUUGAUAGAUUUUCCUACAAACGCUGUGUUUGCUAGGUGGAAGGGGGAAUAACCCUAUCUCCUAACCCACGCCCUUAGGAGCGAAAUACAGCAUGAUGCCCAUACUCCUCCUCCCCAGGGGAUCCCACUACAGCAGCCAGUAUGGGGCUUACCCACCUGCUGCUGGCUCUUGCAGGCUUCAGCAACCCCUCACCACACACCGCAAAGGUAGGUACAGAUAAUAUAACAUAUGCAUGGUAAGACUUGCAUAUUUAGACAGAUUCUUUCUAAAAAUAAAGUACUGGAGAAGAUAACCAGACAAGACUGGUACCAGGAGUGCAUGGUUUUACUCUGGGCUCUGCUCGCAGCGUACAGCCACCCCGACUUUCUGCCACGUCAACCAGCUCCACGUGGAGCAGCACCUCAUCUGGUGCAAAGCAGCACCACUGUGCAGUGACUUAAUGAGAAUUUCACUAAUUAACCCCAGCACAGGACUGAUGGCUUUCUGCCUGAGGAGAAGCAAACAUUUUCCCUGCCUGCUGGUCCGUGAAAAGCUUUUGUUAGAAGGGCUGAUCUUUUUCUGGUGUGCAGAAGAACAGUUGCGUUAUGUUUCCGUUUCUGGAAAGAGCUUCAGUGAGUGCUUGCUGCGCCGAGGAGACAGGCUGGAGCAGGCUGUGGUCCUGCAAGACCCGGUGACGUCCAACAGGGCACCGUGACCGCACAGAUCCACUGCAAAAGCGUCCUUCUGACACGCUGCUGGAGGAAACGAGCUGUCCCCAUCAGCAGUGCAGAGCCGCGCUGAGCCAGGCAGUCUGCCCCUUGUAAUGAAAACCCAGCAUAUGUGCAAAAUCAUCUAUAUAGUCCAACAGAGAUGGAAUCCACCUACGCUGCACACAGCCUGCCCCCAAAGCAACACCCCCAUGUAUCCUGUACCGACAGACGAAGCAGCCAGGCUCAGCGAUGUGACUGAGGGCACGCAGCCUGCCAGAGGUGCUGAAAAGCUCUUACAGCUCCCUGUCUCCUACGCUGGUAAACUCCAAAGGCAAUCCCGGAUGGAGGUAGACAAUAAAAACAGUCAGUGUUGCCAGGGAUCUUAUGCUUAAUCAGAGUCAUGCUGAUUUGCAUUGAUAUGAAUGGUAGGAUAUAAAAAAGCUCGUAAAUUUUAUUGAGUGAAAGCUUCAUCAGAUAUAAAGAAGCGAGACGGUAAUGGGCAUGAAACUAAUAGAAUAAAAGCAGUAUGGGGUCAUAUAAAAAUACA
rnacentral:lncRNA from 1 species